rnacentral:pre_miRNA from 1 species
CUGGGGGUUGGGGGGCCCUCAGCCCGGAUUGCGAGAGGGUGCAGGCCAGGCUGAGGGACCCCACUGGUGCACG